AAAUUGUGGCAAAAUAUCUUUGAAUUCUUAUUCCUGCCAGAGGGUUAAUAUGUAGAAGACCAUCAUUCAUCCUUACAGAUUCUCAGAAUCUUGGAAGAGACAAUACACAUUCCAACUAUGGAGAAUGGUCCUAAGCUGGCAAGCCGCAUCUUGAGCAAAUUAACUGAUAUCCAGUAUGGAAGAGAAGAGAGCGACUGGACAAUCGUGCUAUCCUGAAUGGAAAAUAGAGGAUACAAUGGAAAAUAGAGGAUACCAACUGUAUGCUACUGGGACAGACUGUUGCAUUUGAAUUGUGAUAGAUUUCUUUGGCUACCUGUGCAUAAUGUAGUUUGUAGUAUCAGUGUGUUACAAGAGUGAUUGUUUCUUCAUGCCAGAGAAAAUGAAUUGCAAUCAUCAAAUGGUGUUUUGUAACUUGGUAGUAGUAGCUUACCUUACCUUACCUAGAAAAAUAUUAAUGUAAGCCAUAUAACAUGGGAUUUUCCUCAAUGAUUUUAGUGCCUCCCUUUGUACUUCACUCAGAUACUAAAUAGUAGUUUAUUCUUUAAUAUAAGUUACAUUCUGCUCCUCA
rnacentral:sRNA from 1 species